rnacentral:lncRNA from 12 species
CCGGCCAGUAGAGAGGAUCCUGUAAUGGGCAGGUGCCCCUCUUGUUUCUUGGAGGGGGUCACUUUUGAGAGUGCACAUGUUAGGGGUGCUCUUAGUUUCCCAGAGACGAGAGGUGUAAAUCCAGACUCUCUAGGACGUACAGGGCCAUGUGGUCAUCCAGAAGUAUGUGGUUGCAUCAUUUGCUACAUUAAAAAGAAAGAAAACUAAAAUAUCCCGGGCUACAGAAACCAGCGUGUGCUCCAAGAUCACAUGUGCCAGGGGAGGAAGUGAGGGAAGGAGCUGCACCUCUGUACAUGUAAUUAUGGAGAUCUUUCCAGAAAUCGAGGGAUAUAAAGUGGACUUUCCUUGGUGUCAGAAGUGGGACCCAGAAGAGAUGGCCCCCAGAGGACAAUGACCCUUGGACUCAAGCAGAUGCCCACAGUCAGCCCCCUGCUCAUGUCAGCCUUGUAUUAGGUGAUGCUUCUCUCAAAUUCCCAGAUCCCUUCCUUUGGUGGAGCUCUCUGAUUUUAUUCUGGAUCUGUCUAAAGACUUCAUCCUUUUUGACGAAGGACUCAUUUGUUUGCUUAGUGGACACAGGCCAGAAUGUUGGUAUCAUUCCUUUGGGACUCUUGAGAGCAAAAAUAAGCAAACAAAUUCAAGUAAUGUCAGUGGACACAGAGCGAGCAAAUAAACACUACCAGAGUGCUUGCCACCUCUUCCAGAGAGAGAACGGUCCGUGGUACAAAAGACUCCCACAGGAGGUGAGCUGGUCAAGGACAGGCCAGAUGGGCAUUCUUGCCUCUGCAAGACAAUUUCCAUGCCACGAGGGACACCAGGAAACUGGAAGUGUUAUCCCAUGAGACACACACUUAAAAUACAGCUCCCAACCCCGAAGGUGCACCCAACGAUCCAGCUUUCACCCUUUCUGGGUGGUUUUUUUUUUUUUUUUACUCUCAGGAAAACCUCUGAGAUGGGGGACCCCAAUCAACUAAAACCCCUACGGGAGGUCCCCCUGUGAGACCUCCCAUUGGGCUUAUGUUAAAAAAUGAUGAUCUGUCCUCAUGCAUGUUUUUGACAAUGAGCACGUCAUUGACCGUCAUGGGAACUUAUGAUCUGACCGGAACUGCUUUUCUUCCAGACGAGAUUGGAAGACCCCAGCAAUAGAACCAAACAGUCUGAAUGUGAGAGCUAUCUCAACGGAUACCUGGAGGCUUCCAGAUGUACACAGGAGUCUACAAACGCCUCCUUACAAAAUGCUAUUUCUGAGUUGACUGAAGCAGAUAGACAACCAGAAGGAGAUAAAGCACCUGAGGGGUCUACCUCAACUGCAUCGACUCUAACCACAUCCCUCCACCUCCUUGACACCUACCUUUGCCUUUUGCUGCCCUCUCUCCUUCACCUGAACCCCCUUCUUCUCUGGUGCUGAAACCAGGUGAAAUUCUGCCUUCUAAAAUUUAAAAUCCUUCUGAGGAUCCCACCAAACCACUAAUUGCUUACAUCCCACAGGCCAACACUGAACGUAGCACUGUCCUAAAAGAUUUUCUCAAGGUGAGUGAGGCUCUUCAUAGACUUGCCGAAAAAUUCAUUACUGUAAUUCCAGCUUCUCUGAUCUUUAUCACUCCGAUCUGUAUCGUUAGUCCACCUGCGGGCAAGCCCAGCACUGGAUAAAAGCCCCAAAUAACUUUCAGAACUCCAAGCAAGUGCACAACCAGCUCUUUUAUAGGACCAGGUUCAUGCCAUUCGCAAAAGGUUGCCCGGGGCCAUCGCAAGGGCUUUUCCUACACUGGUAGACUGGAAUGAAAUUCAGGCAUACCCCCAAAGUCUGCCAAAUAUGUUCACGAUUAUUGCAGCAGACUGCCAAUUGUUUUUAAAGAAAAUUCUGGACUCCCUAUAAACGUUGGCUACACCAGGGUGGCCUUUAAUUCAAUGUUUAUAAAUUAUUUUUUUUAAUUUUUAUUUAUUUAUGAUAGUCAGAGAGAGAGAGAAAGAGGCAGAGACACAGGCAGAGGGAGAAGCAGGCUUCAUGCACCGGGAGCCCGAUGUGGGAUUCGAUCCCGGGUCUCCAGGAUCGCUCCCUGGGCCAAAGGCAGGCGCCAAACCGCUGCGCCACCCAGGGAUCCCAUGUUUAUAAAUUAUUUAAAGAGAGAUCAAGCUUUGUUAGUCAAGAGGACCUGCAGGCAUAGGAAACUAGGCUCACCCCGAUCUUGGCCUUGUAGUUUACCGGUGAGCGUGCACCCCACAAGAUGAUUCCAAAGAAGGCCACCUAAAAUCGUAAAUCUCUGCAACUGCAACCGGUGGAAACUCCCUACUGGACUCUGUCAUUGCUGUAGACAGCCUGGCCAGGGGAAGAAGGGAGGCGGCAGAUUGGAAAGGUCUAGGUGAUUAUGGCUUUCCAAGAACCAAGGAUCAGACUGGCCCCAAAGGCCAGGGGGUCCCCUGGAAACGUUCCCUGUGCUACCAUUACAGAGUCUGGGGGAAGCCCCUCUCCGGAUCGAGGAUGAAUGCCGUACAACCCUCACUGACACCUGACACCUGAUGUACGGGUGGAGAAUGUAUUGUGAGAGCCCUAAUAAAGUGGCCUGAGUGAGGAGCGCUGAGAAGCCA